AACCCAUUUGAGGACAUUUUCGCAGGAGCUCCUUGAACCUGUCCCAUGUCUCAAAUAGACACUACAAUUAUGUUUGGAUAAAAGAGGAUAUUUCAUUCCUAAGCUU